GACGAACGCUGGCGGCGUGCCUAAUACAUGCAAGUCGAACGGAAGGCCACUAAGUGCUUGCACUUGCUGAAGGCGAGUGGCGAACGGGUGAGGAACACGUGGGAAUCUUCUUUCAUAGGGGGGAAUAAGAAUGGGAAACGACUCCAAAAACCGAUACGGACAUCGGGUGACAGCAGCGAGUCUUGGGAGCUGGCGCGAGCGAACGAGACGAUGUCGCAUUAGCUAGUUGGCGGGGUAAAGGCCCACCAAGGCGACGAUGCGUAGCCGGUCUGAGAGGAUGAUCAGCCACACUGGAACUGAGACACGGUCCAGACUCCUACGGGAGGCAGCAGUAGGGAAUAUUCCACAAUGGGCGCAAGUCUGACGCAGCCACACCGCGUGAGUGAAGAAGGCCUUCGGGUUGUAAAGCCCUGUUGUUGGGGAAGAACAGCAGCUAGUGAAUCCCCUGCUGUUCUGACGGUACCCAAAGAGUAAGCACCGGCUAACUUCGUG
rnacentral:rRNA from 1 species